rnacentral:rRNA from 1 species
AGUCGAACGAAGCACUUAUCUUUGAUUCUUCGGAUGAAGAGGUUUGUGACUGAGUGGCGGACGGGUGAGUAACGCGUGGGUAACCUGCCUCAUACAGGGGGAUAACAGUUAGAAAUGACUGCUAAUACCGCAUAAGACCGCAGAGCCGCAUGGCUCAGUGGGAAAAACUCCGGUGGUAUGAGAUGGACCCGCGUCUGAUUAGGUAGUUGGUGGGGUAACGGCCUACCAAGCCAACGAUCAGUAGCCGACCUGAGAGGGUGACCGGCCACAUUGGGACUGAGACACGGCCCAAACUCCUACGGGAGGCAGCAGUGGGGAAUAUUGCACAAUAGGGGAAACCCUGAUGCAGCGACGCCGCGUGAGCGAAGAAGUAUUUCGGUAUGUAAAGCUCUAUCAGCAGGGAAGAAAAUGACGGUACCUGACUAAGAAGCACCGGCUAAAUAUGUGCCAGCAGCCGCGGUAAUACGUAUGGUGCAAGCGUUAUCCGGAUUUACUGGGUGUAAAGGGAGCGUAGACGGCUGUGUAAGUCUGAAGUGAAAGCCCGGGGCUCAACCCCGGGACUGCUUUGGAAACUAUGCAGCUAGAGUGUCGGAGAGGUAAGUGGAAUUCCCAGUGUAGCGGUGAAAUGCGUAGAUAUUGGGAGGAACAC